GCUUGAACGGUCCACGCGGGAAAAUCCACGGAGACCCUCCACAAUGCCAGGGACUCGGAUGAACAAUGGGAACCCCCAAAGUCAAGGUGUCCAUCCCCCACUCAUUCAGACGUUGAAGCUGGUUCAUCCAGUCUGACCCCUGCUGUCUCCUGCUCCACACCGACCCCCAGCUGGCCAUCUAGAGGUGUGAAGAGGCCAGCCAAGAAGCAGAGGAGGGGAAGUGCAACAGCUGUAACCGAAGAGGCAGGAGACCGUUGGUACACUGUGCUAGAUGAUGAUUUGGAGCCACUUCCACCAACAUUUUGACCGAAAAGGCAGACAGAACCUCGGCUGGACAUAACUAGAAAGUACAGCCUCCUUCAUCGUUUACAGAUGUGUUUCUCCUUGUCAGUUCUUGAUUCGCUGGUGUCUAACACCAACAAGUAUGGGGCUAAAAAGCAAACAUGUAAGAAAGAGGCAUGGAAGCCCAUUUCCAUCCAAGACCUGUACUGUUAUAUCUCACUGGUCAUUUACAUGGAUGGGGCUUGUGAAGUUGAAAAACCUGAAGGACUACUGGAGAAGCUCAACACUCUACCAACUGCCUUUUCCCACCACUGUCAUAUCUACUAAAAGGUUUCUAACUCGCGGGCGCUUCAUAUCAGUGACCCACAAGCUGACGACGACAAUGACAAGAAGAGAGGCACAGCAAGCUUUGAUCGGUUUGAUUUUGCAGAGCCUCUCUACCCCAGCAUGGUUGAGGCCUGCAAGACCCACUUUCAGCCUGACUGAAACCUGUCCAUAGAUGAGAGGAUGGUAGCCUCAAAAGCUAGAAUUAGCAAUAUUGGCGUAACAAGCCAACAAAAUGGGUUUACAAACUGUUUGUUUUGGCCGAUUCUGUGUGUGCAUACACUUGUGGACCACUAAAAAUGCCCCCAUUCCAGCUGCUGUAAAGGAUUACAACAAGCGCAUGGGAGGUGUGGACCUGUCAGACGUUCUGAUAGGCUACUACAAUGUUCUCCACAAGACAAUGAAAUGGUACAAGACAUUGUUCUAUCACUUCAACGACAUUGAUGUGGUAAAUGCAUUCAUCCUCCAGCAGGAAAAUGGCUAAGAGCUAUGGACAGACCCCCAUGACAUAGCUAGCCUUCAGAGAGCUGCUCAUCCAGGAGCUUGUUGACUAUGGCACAAAGUCUACUGCAGCACCUUCUGUCCCCUCUACUCCUGCCACCAGUGGUGUUCACCUGCCCGAAUACAUAACUGCAGACAUGAAUGUGCCUCAGGGCCAAAAGGGCACAGCAGGGAGGCGUCGUGCUCUGUGUCACAAGAAUCUCCCAUCACCUGCACUACUUGUUCUGCUACCCUCUGCUUUACAGCAGAAAGAGACUGCCAUGGGACUUGGCAUCAGCAGCACAAUAUUGUGUAGAGGACUCAGGGUGUUCCAAAUAUUGUAAUUGUAUUUUUUUUCACUUUGUGUGCGGUUUGUGGUGUGUUCACACCACUGACAUUAGAUCACUGCUGGCUGCUAACUUGGCCCUUAUCUUAAAUAUUGAACUUCUGUGUUUGGAGACAUUGGAUUAGCAUUCUUGUCACAUCUCCUGUUAGUACCUUUUAUGUAGGGAAGCUAAUGAUUCAUCAUGUAUGACAUUCCUGGGUGUAAACUUGUAUUUUUUUAUUAGCAUAGCAUUUUUGUAUGUUCUCUAUAGUUAUUUUCUUGAAAAUGUAUCCAUUUACCAAUUUGGCCACUUGGAGGCCACUUGGGUACAUUUGGGCAACUCGUGAGGGACACCUGGGUGACUUCAUACUAAAUGUCAUGUAGCUCUUAAAGUUAUCAGUCUGAAACUUUGCACAUAUACUGUUGCCCUCUUGUGGACACCAUCUAAAUUAUCUCCAGCAUCCUAUCUGAAUGUAUAGCUUUUCUUUUUCAAAAAUAAAAAACUUGUUUUUUUGUUUGUUUUAUCUUUUACCAGA